rnacentral:rRNA from 1 species
GUAGUCCACGCCGUAAACGAUGCUAACUCGUUUUUGGGGUUUCGGCUUCAGAGACUAAGCGAAAGUGAUAAGUUAGCCACCUGGGGAGUACGUUCGCAAGAAUGAAACUCAAAGGAAUUGACGGGGGCCCGCACAAGCGGUGGAUUAUGUGGUUUAAUUCGAUGAUACGCGAGGAACCUUACCAAGACUUAAAUGGGAAAUGACAGAUUUAGAAAUAGAUCCUUCUUCGGACAUUUUUCAAGGUGCUGCAUGGUUGUCGUCAGCUCGUGCCGUGAGGUGUUAGGUUAAGUCCUGCAACGAGCGCAACCCCUGUCACUAGUUGCUACCAUUAAGUUGAGGACUCUAGUGAGACUGCCUACGCAAGUAGAGA